rnacentral:rRNA from 1 species
UACGUAGGGUGCGAGCGUUGUCCGGAAUUAUUGGGCGUAAAGAGCUCGUAGGCGGUUUGUCGCGUCUGCCGUGAAAGUCCGGGGCUCAACUCCGGAUCUGCGGUGGGUACGGGCAGACUAGAGUGAUGUAGGGGAGACUGGAAUUCUCGGUGUAGCGGUGAAAUGCGUAGAUAUCGAGAGGAACACCUGCGGCGAAGGCGGGUUGCUGGGCUGACACUGACGCUGAUGCGCGAAAGUUAGGGGAGCGAACGGG